AGCCAGACUCCUACGGGAGGCAGCAGUGGGGGAUAUUGGACAAUGGGGGGAACCCUGAUCCAGCGACGCCGCGUGAGUGAAGAAGUAUCUCGGUAUGUAAAGCUCUGUCAGCAGGGAAGAAGAAAGUGACGGUACCUGACCAAGAAGCCCCGGCUAACUACGUGCCAGCAGCCGCGGUAAUACGUAGGGGGCAAGCGUUAUCCGGAAUUACUGGGUGUAAAGGGAGCGUAGACGGUAAUGUAAGUCUGGAGUGAAAGGCGGGGGCCCAACCCCCGGACUGCUCUGGAAACUAUGUUACUGGAGUGCAGGAGAGGUAAGCGGAAUUCCUAGUGUAGCGGUGAAAUGCGUAGAUAUUAGGAGGAACACCAGUGGCGAAGGCGGCUUACUGGACUGUAACUGACGUUGAGGCUCGAAAGCGUGGGGAGCAAACAGGAUUAGAUACCCCAGUAUG
rnacentral:rRNA from 1 species